rnacentral:rRNA from 1 species
GGAUUAGGCAUGCAAGUCGAACGAGAAGGGUUUUGCAAGAGACCUUGUAAAGUGGCGGAAGGGCGAGUAAUGCAUAGAUAACCUACCCUUAAAAUGAGGAUAACCUCUCGAAAGGGAGACUAAUACUCAAUAAGACCACGGGUCGCAUGACCUGUGCUCAAAGAUGGGGACCCGCAAGGGCCUUUCGUUUAAGGAGGGGUUUAUGUCCUAUCAGCUAGUUGGUGAGGUAAUGGCUCACCAAGGCGAUGACGGGUAGCCGACCUGAGAGGGUGACCGGCCGCACUGGGACUGAGACACUGCCCAGACUCCUACGGGAGGCUGCAGUCGAGGAUCUUCCGCAAUGCGCGAAAGCGUGACGGAGCGACGCCGCGUGGGUGAUGAAGGCCUUCGGGUUGUAAAGCCCUGUCAGCUGGGAAGAAUGGCGGAGGGUGAAUAGCCACUCUGUCUGACGCUACCAGCAAAGGAAGCACCGGCUAAAUACGUGCCAGCAGCCGCGGUAAUACGUAUGGUGCGAACGUUGUUCGGAAUCACUGGGCAUAAAGAGCACGUAGGCGGUUAAGCAAGUCCAUUGUGAAAUCCCCCGGCUUAACCGGGGAGCCGCAGUGGAUACUACUUGACUUGAGUACAGGAGGGGAGAGUGGAAUUCCAGGUGGAGCGGUGAAAUGCGUAGAUAUCUGGAGGAACGCCGGUGGCGAAAGCGACUCUCUGGUCUGUAACUGACGCUGAGGUGCGAAAGCUAGGGGAGCAAACGGGAUUAGAUACCCCGGUAGUCCUAGCCCUAAACGAUGGGCACUAAGUAGAGGGGUUUU